rnacentral:tRNA from 1 species
UGUAUGCCGGCGGGAUGGCCUCGACCGUGGAGCUCUUCGACGGCUUCCGCUUCGAGAUCGCCGGCUCGGUGCAGGUUCCGACGUCGGCGGUGGUCAGC